rnacentral:rRNA from 1 species
UAGCCGUAAACGAUGCGGACUGGGUGUUGGGAUGGCUUUGAGCUGUUCCGGUGCCGAAGGGAAGCUGUUAAGUCCGCCGCCUGGGAAGUACGGUCGCAAGACUGAAACUUAAAGGAAUUGGCGGGGAGCACCACAACGCGUGGAGCCUGCGGUUUAAUUUGGAUUCAACGCCGGAGAUCUCACCAGGGCGACAGCAGUAUGAUGGCCAGGUUGAUGGCCUUGCUUGACAAGCUGAGAGGAGGUGCAUGGCGUGUGACUGU